rnacentral:lncRNA from 1 species
CAGGAAGUGGCCCUCUUUGCCUCCCCUCCUGCUCCAGCGGCACAAUGUGAUCCACCAGCAAGGAGGGAUGCCAAUAAGGCAUCCGAUAAGAUAAGUCAAGAGGCUAGAUAAACAACUUCCUACAGCUGCUACGACAUCGGGUGCGCAUCCGCAGCAGAAAGUGUGUGCCGUGGAGAUAAACACAUCAGGUACCCAUGUGUCUUCACCCUGAAGAUCUGGAAAUUAAUGCUUUAGUCAGAGUCAACUCCUCCUCCUUCCCUUUCACAGUUUUUAUGAUGCUGCCAGAAGUCUUCUCCCAUUUGCCUCAACUCAGUCUUCAGGGAAUCCCUCACUGCUCUCUGAAAGAUCUGGGAGAAUUGGAUGUAGAGUCCAGCCUGCCAUGAGUGUCCUACCAAGGCCUUUGCUUCUAAAGCAUGCUGAAGUUCCAGGCUCCUGCCAACAGUUUGCUUUAUUUCUGCUCAGUGAGAAUAAACGUCUGUUACACGGGUUCUCAGACAGACACAUCUUGUACUAAAUUCUACUCCUUAUAUCAGUUUCCACUGUGCAUCUGUUGUUAUCUUCUUCUCUCAAGACCAACCCAGACUACCACCAAGAUGAGCCUUUUGGGCUCAUACCCACGGUCUGCAAAGUGUAAUAAAUAUGUGAUGUGUAUGUAACAUGUCUUGAGCCUGGCAUGACUGGCCUCUCUGUUCUGCAUCUACCACCAACAUCCCAGGAGAAAAACGCUAAGCACCUUGUCUAGGGUCUCAAAGAUAGCAAGUGCCUGAGUCACAGACUCUGGCUCCAGAGCC